AUUUCUGCUCCAUGAUAUGUUAAAUAGCCGCAGUACUCUGACUGUGCAAAGGUAGCAUAAUCAGUUGGCUCCUAAAUAGAGUCUGGAAUGAAUGAACAUAUGAAGAGUAGCUAUCUCAGAGUAUUUAUUUGAAAUUGGUUGUGGGUGAAAAUCCCCACAAUUUUCUAAAAGACGAGAAGACCCUAGAAACUUAUAUUAUUGUUUUGUUGGGGCGACAAAAUUACAUAUAACUAAUUUUUAAAGUUACGUGACGAAUGCAGAAAGUUAAAGUUACUCUAGGGAUAACAGCAUAAUAUUUUUUGUUUGUGACCUCGAUGUUGGACUAGGUAAAGUGUUCUUUAGAAGGGAACAUAUAGGCUCUGUUCGAGCAAGUGAACCU
rnacentral:rRNA from 1 species